rnacentral:rRNA from 1 species
CCUACGGGGGGCUGCAGUGGGGAAUAUUGGACAAUGGGCGAAAGCCUGAUCCAGCCAUGCCGCAUGUGUGAAGAAGGCCUUCGGGUUGUAAAGCACUUUCAGUGGGGAAGAAAGCCUUGGGGCUAAUACCCUCGAGGAAGGACAUCACCCACAGAAGAAGCACCGGCUAACUCCGUGCCAGCAGCCGCGGUAAUACGGAGGGUGCGAGCGUUAAUCGGAAUUACUGGGCGUAAAGCGCGCGUAGGCGGUCUGAUAAGCCGGUUGUGAAAGCCCCGGGCUCAACCUGGGAACGGCAUCCGGAACUGUCAGGCUAGAGUGCAGGAGAGGAAGGUAGAAUUCCCGGUGUAGCGGUGAAAUGCGUAGAGAUCGGGAGGAAUACCAGUGGCGAAGGCGGCCUUCUGGACUGACACUGACGCUGAGGUGCGAAAGCGUGGGUAGCAAACAGGAUUAGAUACCCGUGUAGUC